rnacentral:rRNA from 1 species
UACGUAGGGUGCAAGCGUUGUCCGGAAUUACUGGGCGUAAAGCGUGCGUAGGCGGUUUGUUAAGUCUGUCGUGAAAGCCCCGGGCUCAACCUGGGAAUGGCGAUGGAUACUGGCGAGCUAGAGUACGGGUAGAGGAGAGUGGAAUUCCCGGUGUAGCAGUGAAAUGCGUAGAGAUCGGGAGGAACAUCAGUUGCGAAGGCGGCUCUCUGGACCAGUACUGACGCUGAGGCACGAAAGCGUGGGGAGCAAACAGGG